rnacentral:rRNA from 1 species
AAUGAACGCUGGCGGUGUGCCUAAUACAUGCAAGUCGAGCGAACACACGAUGAGCUUGUUCCUCUGACGUUAGCGGCUGACGGACGAGUAACACAUACAUAACCAUCUUAUUAUUCUUGGAUAACUUCGUGGAGCCGGAGCCAAUACUACCUAAUAUAUUCAACCGCUUGAUGCAAGAGAUAAUGACACCUUGCCUGUCUCUAUUAGACGAUGUCGCGCCGCAUUAGCUAGUUGGUAAGGUAACGGCUUACCAAGGCAACGAUGCGUAGCCGACCUGAGAGGGUGAUCGGCCACACUGGAACUGAGACACGGUCCAGACUCCUACGGGAGGCAGCAGUAGGGAAUCUUCCGCAAUGGGCGAAAGCCUGACGGAGCAACGCCGCGUGAGUGAUGAAGGUCUUCGGAUCGUAAAACUCUGUUAUUAGGGAAGAACAAAUGUGUAAGUAACUAUGCACGUCUUGACGGUACCUAAUCAGAAAGCCACGGCUAACUACGUG